GUCUACAACCAUGCUACCCUGAAUAUGCCCGAUCCCGUCUGAUCUCAGAAGCUAAGCAGGGUCAGACCUGGUUAGUACUUGGAUGGGAGACCACCUAGGAAGACCAGGUGCUGUAGGCG
rnacentral:rRNA from 1 species